CGUCCCUGAGAUCCAAGGCGAUUCACCUGGGUGAUCAAGAAAAAGAGCAUGGAAUAACAAUAAUCAUGAAUAAUAAUAAUGGGUACAGGAAAACGACCACUUGAGGUGGUGUACGUACACCCGAAAAGCACAUGAUGCGCCAGUGUAAAGCUGCACCAGAUCGAAAAUAAUUUUUGAAUAAACGAUGGUGAAUCUUUGAUUGCUAUAUGGUUUGGCGGUCGAAAGUUAUUCAAUAAUUUAUGGUAUCAGCCAAUAUAUAGUUCCGACAAAACGAUACUGGACCGACGUGUGUAUAGACGAUGAUUAAAACGGUACUGAGGUCACGUGAAACAUGUACCUACAUUACUCGUAACCGUUAUACCUUAUACACUUAUUUCUUGAUCUCCGACCUUCCAAUACAUGGGGAGACCUUUAAAGAUGGCAUCAAAACAUCAACAUACACACCGGAGAUGAUGCGGGGUGAUCGAACAGGAUAGUGACGUUAUAAAAUGCUUGCAAAAUUCUCGUUGUACUUUGAGAGCCAGGAGAGUUUUACUUGCGCUGACGAGGUCGUAUACCCGUACCGUUAUGAGACUCAUGAUUCGUCUCGCAAUUCACCGGAACAACGGAUGAAUCAUCAACGUUGAUUCAUUUAUGGUUCCUCCUCCGCGAGUUACGCUGUGCCGAACACGCGAUUUAUGAUGUUUAACACUUUUGUUAAUGUAGUAGAGAAAUUUGUUGUCUCUUAUCAACCCGUAUCUGAAUAGAUACUGUAUCUGAAUCAGCUGUGUAAUAUAUGCUGUAAUUAUAUACUCGAGGUCUAUUCAAAGUCAGUUAAUUGCAUAAAUCGAGAUGAUUAUUUCAGGCUGGAGACGAUGUAAAUGUUAACAAAAUUUUACUUUGUUUAUAUCCAGUUGUGUUACGUAUUGACUGCAUGUGUGCAGCUGAUAAAAUGCCUUUUACGACCGUCUGCUGGUCACCGUCUCCAGAUUUCCCAAACUACAUAGCAUGAGAAACUCAACAUUCUGCUCCUAUUUUAGGGCAGCGUGAGCAAACAAAGGGGAUCUGGAAGAUGUAUACGCAUCGUAGUUCCGGAAAAUCCAAGGGCGGAUCGUUAAUGCGGUAAAAAAUACUACGAUUUGUCAAAAUGAAACGCACCCCUUCGUAGUAAAACAUUAAGCGGCGUCAGGCUGGCGCCACAACCAUCGGUUCGACCCUGCAGAUAUUGACUUUGCCCAAAAGUGUGUCAAGCAAACCGAGUCGAAGGACA
rnacentral:misc_RNA from 1 species